AAUAAUAAAAUGUCAAAUUAAUUAGAAUAAUUCAUUUAGGACUUUAUUGGACAGGAAAUAAAAAUAAAAUAAAACAUAAUAAUAAUAAAAAUGAAAAUAAAAAGAUAUAUGCUCAUCCAAACCUAUAAUAAUCAAAGAUCAAGUGGGUAAAAUCAGUUUAUUCUGAUUUCAAAACUGAAACCGAGGCUAUUGUGCAACGCAGCAGACCGCAGAACUGGUUUGUCGCUGACUUGUGUAUUGCAGAAGGAAAGUGAGAGACAUAUUAAAAGGAUUACAGACGAUUAGCUUUUUUUUCUUCUUCUCAAAACAAAAAUCCCUAUAUCAUCAGAAGGAUAACACCUGUGUGAAAUGGGAUUUCUGGUCAAGCACUGGCAAUGCUGUUUAAACUCUCAUAAAAGUCUGUAAGAAUCAGUCAUUAAAUGACAUAGCUCUGAUAUGUUAUUUCAUGUUACAUAUAAAAGUACCAAAUCACGCAUGAUACUAAAUUACAACUUUUCAGAAAUGCUAUUUAAAUAAAUUUAAUGUUAACUAGCCUAAAUAUAGGCUUCAAAUAAUAAUUAAUAAAAAGAUGUGCGAAAAUAUUACAAGGCAGCAUUUAGUCAAGAAAAUAAAAAUAAUAAAAUCUAUUUCUAAUCUGGACUAAUUAAACGUCAAAAUAAAUCAGCCCCACCCUCCAUUAUGUUACUUUUCAAAAACAGACAUCAGAGUAAAUUCUGAUGGCCCACCAUCACUCAAGACAGGCCCCCCCCCUUUUCGCAGGUUUUUAAAUAGUUAAAUACCUUAUAGCCCACGCCCGUCAAAUGAAAUGUUGACGAUGAAAAGGUCUAAAACUACAGGUGAAACGUAUUUGAUUAGCAAUUAAUUAAAAUAAUCACCAACAGAUGGGAUGAUAUUAGACCUAGAUAUACAGAGUUCAUAUUUAUGUUUGUGCGCGCUAUCACUACAAACACAUUCUCUUUAUGGGAAUACUAAAUGGACAACGAUAAACUCUAUAAGCACUCAUUUGAGGAACACGAGCUGUGGAAUGUCCCAUGCAACAAUAGUUUGUUCCACAGGAGGGCACCACUCAGAACUGUUGCACGUGUAAGGUGUUCAAGUGGACCGAUAUUAAUGGAGCACUGAAAAGUCAACCAUCUCAUUCCAUGGCUGCGUGCUUCAGCAUGGCCUGAGGCAGAGCUGGGCUCCUGGUUAACUUUGUGUCUAACUGUCUGUUGCUCAUUGCCUAAUCAACUGCAGGAUGACUAGUCUGCAGAUGAGCUGCUGUCAACCUGCACAACACCAUAAACACCUGAAUAUACAAGAACAGAGCUUAAGGGAAAAAAAGAUGCAUUUUUGCAGAAGGAUUUACAAUAAAUAUCUAAUUUCUCUCUUAA